GAUGAACGCUAGCUACAGGCUUAACACAUGCAAGUCGAGGGGUAACGAGAGGAAAGCUUGCUUUCCUUGUCGACGACCGGCGUACGGGUGAGUAACGCGUAUCCAACCUGCCCCCAACUAGGGAAUAACCUUGCGAAAGUAAGACUAAUACCCUAUAAUUUCCUCAGAUGUCAUCUGACGAGGAAUAAAGAUUUAUCGGUUGUGGAUCGGGAUGCGUUUGAUUAGCUUGUUGGCGGGGUAACGGCCCACCAAGGAAACGAUCAGUAGGGGUUCUGAGAAGAAGGUCCCCCGCAUUGGAACUGAGACACGGUCCAAACUCCUACGGGAGGCAGCAGUGAGGAAUAUUGGUCAAUGGGCGGAAGCCUGAACCAGCCAAGUAGCGUGCAGGAUGACGGCCCUAUGGGUUGUAAACUGCUUUUAUACAGGAAUAAAGUUAGCCACGUGUGGUUAUUUGUAGGUACUGUAUGAAUAAGGACCGGCUAAUUCCGUGCCAGCAGCCGCCGUAA
rnacentral:rRNA from 1 species